GCAGGGACCAGUGCAGGGCCAUGGGGAGCAGCCCAUAGGGCAAGCUGAUGGGCAAUCAGCUGUCCUCCAAGCCAGGUUCAGCACAGCUGCUUACAGUAGGAACCCCAGCCUGGCCUCAGAGAGGCAAAAAAAAUGUCUCCACAAAAGAUAGAGUUGUCUUCUGCACUAUAAAAACAGCAUGGUAUAUUGGUUACCCAAGGACCAGAGCAGAUACCAUGCUGUUUUUAAAGUUGCUAGGCUGCAGAAUCUCCCACUUUCAUGAAUUCGCCUGAUUUCCUUUUCUAUAGCUUAAGGCAGGUUUGGCCAACUCCCAAGAGACUGUGAUCUAUUCCCAGUAUAAAAAAACUGGCAGUGAUCUACCCAUUGUCAUUGAAGGGAGGAGCGUGCUGCCCAGAGUUGGUGAGGUUUUUUUGGGGAAGAUGGCACAGAGUUUUUUUUUUAGCUUUCCCCCAAUAACUUUUUGUACACGAUGAGGAUCCCGUGAUCUACCACUGGUUGGACAUCCUUGACUUAAGGCAUUGGGUCUGAGUGAUCUGUAGUUAGUACAAACUUUGGAGUGCUCUCAACUCUAGGGAACAUGGGGUUCCUGAAUUGGUCUCUUUGAGGAUACUGGAAGUACUUUCUGUGCAGACAGAAUUGCCUGUGAACCAGAUCAUUGCCCUUCUUCACCGAGUGCCCCCGAGCAUACUGGUUUUAUUUGGAGUUGAUGGUAUCUUAAUUAGCUUUAUUGAGCUUUUAUUGCUAGCUGUAAAACUUCUAUUUCUAUAGCACUCUGGUGUAAAACUGCUUUACAAUGCCAGUUCUAUUCAUCUUCUCUUAUUCAACCUCUCAACAACCUUGUUAGGUUGAAUGAUGGUGAGCACAGAAAUUAUGUGGCUCAUUAGGAAUUUGGACCUAGGUCUUGGACUUGCCAGGGCAUAGCAACCCCCCCCCCCUGCACUAGGGUUUAGGCUGGUAAAAAGAUACCCCUGUUGUCACGAGGGGAAAUGUAAUUGAAGAUGAUUUUUUUCAAUUGCUCACACCUUUUAAUUGAUUUACUCUUGCAACUCUUUAGGCCCAUUUUAAAGUGCUUGAGAAACUUUAUUGUCUUGUCUUGUUGAAGGUAUCAGCAAAAUAAAAUUAACUAUUUUUAGAUUCUUAUUUGUAUACAUUUAUCAAUGUUAUAUAACAGUAUCAUUGUAUUUGAAAGGGCUCAUUUGACAAAUCCUUUUAAAAAAUAGUUUAUUUUAUUAUUUAUUUAUUAAAUUUGUAUUCUGCCCUUCAUCCAAAUAUCUCUGGGUGGUUCAUAUAUCCCACGCAUCAUAUAAUACAAAACUUAGUUGUUUAUCUACAAUAUCAGGGGUACCUUCCAUUCCGCUUUGUUUAUGGCAGUCUUCAAAGUUGAAUGGUUGUUUCUCACAAGACUCUUAAGGCUGCACACUCAGGAGUAAGUCUUAUUGAAUUUGGUGGUACUUGCUUCUGUGUCAAUAUGUAUAGCAUUGUCCUGUAGAUUUGUUUAUAUUGGGUCCCAAACCAUCCCAGUCAUCACACACUAGAUAAAGAAUUUAGCUUUCUCCCACCUUCAUAUAUACCUAUUUACAUUUUGAAUAUUAAGAGUCACAAAUUUUGGUGGACCUAGUGAUUAUUUGUGGUUUUCCUGACCUCUUGUCUGAGUCCUCUGCACAGAGAGCUCUGGGAAAGAGUCUCAAGUUGUGAUUGGAUUGGGCAAGUAGCUGCCAGGAAGAGAUCCAUGGUUGCAGAUGACGAAAUGACCACCUCAAGAUUCAGUCACGGCUCCCCUAUGGUUGGGUGUAAGUUAAACAUGUGAAUAAAUGCUAGUCUAAAGGGUUGAUACCUUUGAUUCUGCUCAGAAAGUUUGUCCUGCAUUCUUGACACUUUUACGUUAUGAACAUAGUUAUCUGAAGGCAACAG